rnacentral:rRNA from 1 species
GAUGAACGCUGGCGGCGUGCCUAACACAUGCAAGUCGAACGGAGUCGUUUUGGAAAUCUCUUCGGAGAUGGAAUUCUCGACUUAGUGGCGGACGGGUGAGUAAACGCGUGAGCAAUCUGCCUUUAAGAGGGGGAUAACAGUCGGAAACGGCUGCUAAUACCGCAUAAAGCAUCAAAUUCGCAUGUUUUUGAUGCCAAAGGAGCAAUCCGCUUUUAGAUGAGCUCGCGUCUGAUUAGCUAGUUGGCGGGGUAACGGCCCACCAAGGCGACGAUCAGUAGCCGGACUGAGAGGUUGAACGGCCACAUUGGGACUGAGACACGGCCCAGACUCCUACGGGAGGCAGCAGUGGGGAAUAUUGCGCAAUGGGGGAAACCCUGACGCAGCAACGCCGCGUGAUUGAAGAAGGCCUUCGGGUUGUAAAGAUCUUUAAUCAGGGACGAAACAAAUGACGGUACCUGAAGAAUAAGCUCCGGC